CAUCAAGAUGAAACACCGGUUCAUCUAAGAACACUGAAGUUAAGCAAUCCUGAGCCUGGUCAGUACCUAGAUGGGUGACCACUUGAAAAUACCAGAUGUUGUAAG